ACAUAUGUAUAGCAUAUACGCAUAGUAAGAUACACACAAACAUGUGGGCUAAUUUGUCGACCGUACUGGACGAGGUGCGCAAUAUGGUUCCGAAGAGUUACCUCACCAACCCCCUUUUACCGCCACACACCUCUCACCAACAUAUGUAGACUCGCUACUCACAUCUCCUCAAUGCAAAAGCUCACCGAAGCAAAAAUUCGACAAUUUCAAAUACAUAUUUUCAGGUUCUACUAAUGCGUUAGACAUUAACUUGAUGUUAGUUGAGUUUUGCGUAUCGUGUGGAAUGGUCUGAAAAUAGAGGACUAGAUACUAUUGUAUUAUAUAUUAAGUUCUUAACAUACACAUGUAUAUGCAAUAAAUAUAGGUACAACUUAUUUGUUAUUCCUUGGUGAACUACUAAAAGAAAAUCAUCAUUUGAAGUGCUUUUACUAUUGCAUAUCUGCAUACAUAUCUGUUGGAAUAUUUAUAAUAAACUCAUAUAAAUAAGAUAUUGCACAAAUAUGUCGGACGCAGCGAAUGGUGAGUCGAAAUUUGGGUUCAAGGAUAAGGAGAAGGCGGUCGAGACGCUACAAUUGCUCGAAAGUCAUGAUAUGCAAUACAGGAAAUUGACAGUACGAGGAUUGUUAGGACGCGCUAAACGUGUCCUUACCAUGACAAAAGCUGAGGAGAAACUCAAGAACAUCAACGAAGCAAUCGGAGUUUUCGAGAAAUGGCUUGAGGAGAAUGGCGGCGGGGCUGCCAAUAAAAAUUCUAAAACCGACAAAGAAGACAAAGUGGAAACAGUACCUGGUUUAGGCUUUAAGGAUAAGGAAGCGGCGGAAGCGACAUUGAGAAUACUUAAAGAUCGUGAUCCAGAUUAUCAAAGACUGGCUGUCAAAGGGUUGAUUGGUAGUUCAAAACGUGUACUCUCCGGCACAAAGAAUGAAGAUAAAAUCAAGUCUAUUAAUGAAGGUGUUAAGAUACUAGAAGAUUUCUUAGAGAAGUUCGAAACAGAAAAUUUAAUAAAAAAUAAUCGAGCCUACCUCGCAUAUUCCAUUAUCGAGCAAUUACCUGAAGCCAAAGAUGGGUUGGCCGCUGAAUUUGUGAAAGCUUAUGGAGGAGCCAAAGCUAAAGGCAACUACAAACAUUUACGUACUAUGUAUCCGGAAGCCGAUGACUCGACAUCAUGGGAUAUUAUGCGCAAUCGAAAUAUAGCAAAAAUUUUGGAAAAAAUUAAGGCUGAGGAUGCAAAAUUGUUCAAUGCUGAAACUGGUGAGCCAACAGAGAUUCAUCUGGAACUUAUACAUUGGGCCUACAGUCCACAAUCAGACAAGGUGAAAGCAUAUUUGGAGAAGAACUCAAAGAAAAAGGCUGAGAAACGUAAAAUUGAACAAAAGGAAAACUCCAGCUCUGACGAAGUUAACAGCGCUAGUAGCGAGGAUGAUGAUGAUGAUGAGGAUGGCGAAACACCACAAAAGAAAAAGAAGACUGCAUAGAUAUUGCGUAGUGGAGACAUAUUGCAGUAUCAAAUUUUUGUACUUAUAAAAUAAUGCUGAAUUUUCACUAAACAUUAAAUGACACAAUUUUCUUCGACAAUGUUUGGUAAAAAAAAAAUAACUCUGCCGAAUAAUGGCGAACUUCGAAAAAGCAGUUACGCAGAUUCAAUAAAGAAUAAUGCUCGAUUUCCACUCGGCAUUCAGCGGCAAAAAAUUGCAAUGACAAAGUUGGGCAUUA